AAGGAAGGAAGGAAGGAAGGAAGGAAAAGCAAGUUCUCACGCCCCCUGCCCCGACCUCCUGACAGGCCCCUCUGGGGCUUCUCGUGCGCCUCAGGUUUGAGAACCACUGGUCUAGAUGACGGGUUUUCUCUCGCAUGAGCCCAGAGUUCUGAAAACCACGUCUCUGUCUCUGCUCUCAGUUCACCCACUUGCCUAAGACCAUUCUAGGUGCAGAGAAGAAACACCCACUGACUGUCUCCAAAGGCUGGAACACCAGGGAGGAGAGGAGAGGGGAGGGGAGGGUUGCUCAUAGAAACGGAGAUGCGGCUUGUGGUCCCGGAGGUGGAGAGCGGGGAGGGAGUUGGCUGGAGGUGGUCAGAAGAUACCAACUUCUCGGGCGUUCCCUCCGUGGCUCAGCGGUGAACGAACCCAGCUAGGAUCCACGAGGAUGCGAGUUCGAUCCCUGGCCUUGCUCAGUGGGUGAAGGGUCCAGCGUGGCCGUGAGCUGUGGUGUAGGUUGCAAAUACAGCUCGGCUCCUGCGUUGCUGUGGCUGUGGCGCAGGCUGGCAGCUGUAGGUUCGAUUAAACCACUAGCCUGGGAACCUCCAUGUGCUGCAGGUGCAGCCCUAAAAUAGCAAAAAAAAAAAAAAGAAAGAGAAACCAACUUCCAAUUAUAAGAUAAGUAAGUACUAGGGCUGUCACAUGUAACACAGUGAGUAGAAUUAUCACUGCCGUGCGUUGUGGAUGUGAGAGUUGAGAGUAAAUCCUGCGUUCUCAUCGCAAGGAAAAUGUCUUUUUUUCUUGGCGUUCCCUGGUGCCCUAGCAGCUAAGGAUUUGGUGGUGUCACUGCUGGGGUGCAUAUUCAAUCCCCACCCUUGGAACUUCUGCAGGUUGCGGGCAGGGCAAAAUCCUUCUUUUUCUUUUAUUUUGUAUCUCGGUGAAAUGGAGGGUGUUCCCCGAACUUCCUGCGAUGAUCCCGGCGGGACGUAGCUUGUUUUUUUGUUCUUGGAAGUCUCGCAGCGCCUCACCCAGCACGGAGUCUGGUGCACAGCAGAUCCUGUUUGUGGGGUGCAAAUGUGGGUGUGUCAUUGGCCUCAGGGAAGAGCCCGGGACAGAGAGAAUCUGGGGCAGGGUCCUGGCAAGACAGCCCGCAUGUACAUCCCUUCCGGGGCCUCCCAUGUCCCGUACGGGUUGCCACGAGGACCAUGGGAACCGAGGAAGGGUAAGCAUCCGGGUAAGGGUAAGCAUCCGGGUCUGAUGUGUUUGCAGAAUGAGGGAGGGAGGCGAUGGGCACAACGGCGGAUAAGGGGGACCCAGAGGCAGACUCUG
rnacentral:lncRNA from 1 species